GGCCGAGUGGUGUAGUUGGUUAUCACAUCUCGUUAACAUAGUUAAUACUUGUCCCGAGAAGGUCCUCAGAUCGAGCCUGGGCUUGGUCA